UUGAUUUAUAGUUGGUAAGGAUUAUACAAAUGAGGACUAGGGCCCAAAUAACUUAUAUUCAUUGAUAGUAAAUAUUGGUUUAAUUUCAAAGGGGUAAGUCAUUGGAGAACUCAAAGCAGUGGUGCACUCUCCCUGCUCCAUUUUGAAAGCCAGGAAUGUUUCCAAUGCACGGAGCCAGCAUACGGAGGAAGAGUCUCCAGCCUCAGCUCCGUAGCCCGGGUUUUGGAGCUGAACGGCAGCUAGGGAUUCCAUGAGGCACCCGCGAGGUGGAGACUAUCAUGGACAGCAUAUAUAGAGAUGGUCACACCACAGGCAAGACUCCACAGGCGAAAGGGAAUGGGUGACCACCAGGCAGUGCAAGAGUCUCCCCUGCAAAACAGAUAUACCACUUUAGAUACUGUUGAGGGGAAUGGCCUAACAAGGGAAAACAACAUCAGCCAAAUUUUUCAUACGACUAUUGACACUGCUGCAUAGGGGACGAGUCAAAUGUAUUGGAAUGCAAUAGUUAUUGGGAAUUCAAUUAUGAGGGAAAAUAGGCAUUCCUGUAGCAGUAUUACAAUUCCAGGUUGGUAUGUUGGCUCCCUCGUACUGUCUAGGAUGUAUCAGAGGAGCUGCAGGACGUUCUAGAAUAAGAGUGCAAACAGUAAUGGUUACAAUACACGAUGAUACAAAAAAAGGGGAAAAAAAUGAGGGCCUAAAAGGAGAAUUUAGGGAUUGAGGAAAUGAGACGAAAAAUAGGACUUCAAAAGGUAGUAAUAUCAAGAUUUCUACCAUUGCCAUGUGUUGGUCAGUGUGGAAAUAGCAAGAUAUAUCAAAUGAAUAUAUGACUAAAGAGAGGGUGUGAGGAGUAGGGUUUUCAGAUUGAGGCACUGGGAUUGGUUUUGCACGAGGUGGGACCAGUGCAAACUGGACCAGUUACACCUGGGCAGGAGCAAGACUGAUGUCCUAAGGGGAGUAUUUCCCAGAGUGGUUGGGGAAAGCUUGAAACUAAAAAGCCAGGGGUUGGAAACCUAUGUAAGGAGUCAAAGGAAGAGGAAUCAAGGACAAAAACAAAAGACAGAAAGCAGAAUAAAAAAAAAAGUUAGGCAGAGAAAUCAUGGGCCAGUAUCAUACAGGGGCACAGUGUAAAAUAAUGGGAAUAGGACAAGUAACGUUAUUGCGUCUUAAUUCAUGGAGCAUUCACAAUAACUUGGAUGAAUUAAUCAUGCAAAUAGAAGGAAACAUGAUAUAGCCAGGAUUACAGAGACAUGGCUGCAGGGUGUCCAAGGAUGAGAAAACAGUAUUUAGGAAGGACAGACAAAGUAGGGGUAGUUGCAUUGACAGUUAAAGAGAAAGUUAAUGCAAUAGUGAGGAAAGAUAUUAGCUCAGUGUGGAUAAGUGGCACUGAGAAACACAAGGCAUUUUAUACAUAAUAUUAGGAGCAAGAAGGUAACUAGGGAGAGGUUCACUCAAGAACAAAGGAGGGAAUUUACGCAUGGAGCCAAAAAGAAGUGGAUGAGCUUCCUGAUGAGUACUUCACAUUGGUAUUCACCAACAGAAGGACAUGGAUGAUGCUAAACCCAAAUGUUAUUAGCCAAGAGAAUCUUGCAGCCAGCCAGAUGUUCGACGUCUUCACCACUCCUCCUAAGGCCGCAAGGCCCACAAGAUACAACAAUUCAGAGAUAUACCUAUGGCUGUCUGGAACCUUCCUCUCCUCCCCUUCCCUCUGAUUACAUCACCACCUCCAAUCCCACCACCUGUCAGAUUGCUGUCCAAACUCUUCUGGUCUGAAAGCUGCACAUUUAAGACCCUUCUGCCAAGAGCAACUGGCUUCCCAGAAGUGAACCCUACUCUUGCUAGGAGAGACAGUAAAAACUUGCCUCUGAUCUUCAUUUUAAUUGUCAAUCACUGAAGUGAAAACAGUCUUGGCUUGAUCUGUCCGUCAUAAACUCAGAAGUACAAACAUAUUUCCAUUAACACCACAGAGGUUUGCAGUCACUUGCUUGGAGCAGUUUCUGGAUUUAGGUCACUCCAGAAUGAUUCUGCUGGCUUGAAACAAUCUCACAACAGUAACCGACAUCCAUUGGCAUCUCUUUAAAACAAUUCAAUCUUGAAUGAUGAUAAUAUGUAUUACACAACUUUCAUCACAAAGCAAUUUAAAAAUAUAGCUAAGGCAAGCCAUUAACAGUCUACUGAAUUAAAGUGCAACAAAUAUUUUUGCAUAAGAAAUUUAAAUGUUUUCGUCAAUUUAUUCAAAUAAAUGCUGUUUUACUGAUUGGAGGUUCAGACAUUAGUUGUACUUCAUUUUCUUGAAUCUUUUAAAAUGUUAAUUUAAACUGUUUUUAAUCAGUUCUAAAAUAUUCCAAAGAUAAAAACGUAUUGGAGUACUCAAUUGUUGGGUCAAUGUUUGAAGUCACAAUUAGUGCUCUUAAUUUUUCACUAAGUUUUCAUUUUAAAACAGUACAAUCCUUUCCAAGUUCAUUCUUCAAAAGGGAGGUGGUGACCUAGAUAACAUUCUGGGCACCUUUGAAUUCAAUAAAAUAUUUGGAAUUAAGAAUUUAAUGAUGACCAUGAAUCCAUUGCCAAAUGUCAGAAAACCCAUAUGGUUCACUAAUAUCCUUUAAGAAGGGAAACUGCCAUCUUCACCUGGUCUGGCUGACAUGUGACUCCAGAUUCACAACAAUGUGGUUGACUCUGAACUGCCCUCUGGGCAAUUAAGGAUGGGCAAUAAAUGCUGCCUGAUCAGUGAAGCCCUCAUCCCGUUAAAAAUAAAGAAAAUAUUUUUUAGGAUAUCGUAUCAAUAAAGUGUCAAGGGCCAAUUAACAACCAUCUCUAUUGCCCUGAGAAGGUAGCAGUGUUACUCAAACUUCAAACUCCAACUUGAUCGGCAAUGAAAGGGCUUUGCGACAUCCAAUGACCGUGAAAGAGCUAAAUAACUGCAUGUAAUAUAUUUCUUUGUAAGGGUUUGACAGAGUCAAAUGGCUUGUCAAGUCCCUUCCAAAUGCGUGCAAAAUUUGAUGCAGGAUAAGUCAUCAAUUGAGCACCAGACUGGGCAAGGAUUGCUGGUUUUCUUCCCUAACAGAUAAUUCUUUUUAACAACAAGUCAGCUCCAUGAUCAUUUAAAAUAACAAAUGGUAGCUCUAUUUUCAGAGAAAGAUUAUUUUAAUUGAAUUCAAAUUCAAAAACUGCAUGAUGAGAUUGGAAAUUACUUUGUCUCGAUUCUUAGACAAGGCCUCUGGUUUACUAGUACAGUCACAUAUUAUGCUACCAUCUCUAAGAUUAUAUUAUGCUACCAUUAUCUGUAUUACUAACAUUUGGACGCUUGUGUCAAAAUUGAGGAGUGUCUCUCAGAUUGUGUCAGGCUACUGCAUGACUAGUCAUAUCCAUACCCGUCAAUAUUCCAGCACAACAUCACCAUUUGUGGUUAUGUCCUGCCCCAAAGGCACAGGUGGUGGCACAGUACUGCACAGUUAAGACAGUGUUGCCCUGACAAUCCACAAUAUUGACUUUGAACCCCAUUAAAUCUCAUUGUAUCAGGUCAAACAUAGGCAAGGAAGCCUCCUGCUUAUUGUCAUGCUGUCUCACAACUCAGCUGAAGAAUCAUCAUCCAUGUUGAACGCUACUGUGUGGAAUCAUGGAAGUGGCAAGGAAACAGAAUGUACUCGGAGUGGGGGACUUUAAAUGUGCAUCACCAGUAAUGGCUCAGCAGCACAGUUUUUGACCAAAAUCCAAGAGUAUAUAGUUGCUAGAUUGUGUCUGGAGCAGGUGGUGAAACAGCUAACCAGAGGGAAAAGCAUACAUAAUCUAAUUCUCACCAAUCCGCCUGCCACAAAUGUAUUGUCCAAGACAGCAUCAGUAGGAACAACCAUUAUGUAAUCUUUGUGGAGUCAAAGUUCUAUCUUCAGACCACAAAGAAUCCAGCCAUCAUACUGUGUUGCACUACUGCUGUAUUAAAAGCGAGGCGUCAAACUGGUGGAGAUAAAGCACAAAACUACUCACAUAACAAAUAAAGAUAAAUCACCAAGAGAGAGGCAAGGCAAAGUGAUUCUACAAUGAACAGAUCAGAUCCAAGGUCUGCAGUCCUGCCACAUCCAUGAAAUCAGGACAGUAAGACAGCUCAUUGGAAGAGAAAGUUCCACAAAUAUUCCCAUCCUGCAUAAUGGGGGCGCACAACACAUCAGUGUAAAAGAUAAGCCUGAAGCAUUCGCAACAAUCUGCAACCAGACAGAUUAAUCAGAUGAUUCAACUGGGCCUCCACCACGAUCCUGUGUCACAGAUCAGACUUUAGCCAAUUUAACUUGCUCCAUGUGAUAUUAAGAAAUGACAAAGCAAUGGAUCCUGACAACAUUCCAGUAACAGUACUGAAUACCUUUGCUUCAGAACUUGCUGCAUUCCGACUCAAUCUGUUCCACUGCAGCUACAACACUGGCAUCUACCCAGCACAGAAAGGAUUACCCACGUCUGGCCCUAUAUAGAGAUGAGAAAAAAAAAAGGACAAAUCCAACCCAACCAAUUACUGCCCCAUCAACGUCCUCAAUUAUCAGAAAGCUGGUGGAACGUGUCAUCAACAAUACUAUCAAGCAGUACUUGCUUAGAAUAAUCUGCCCAAACUGAACAUGAGUGAGUUCUGCUAGGGCCACUCAUCUCCUGCCUUAUGACACCACUAACUGCAAGAUCCUCUUGAAGCUAUUCCAUCGUUCUGACUUGGAAAUUUAUUACUAUUCUUGUGGCAUCAUUGGGUCAAAACCCCAAAACUACAUUCCUAAUGGUAUUGCGAGUGUACCUACAUCAAAUGGGUUGCAAUGGUUCAAAGCAGCAGCUCAUCUUUAUCUUUCCAAAAUCAAAUAGGAACUGGAAAUAAAUGCUGGCCUAGCCAAAGUCCACAUCGCAUGAACGCAAAAAAAAUUCAAAAUAAAUUAGAAUGAAUGCACUAAAUAGAACGCGUAAAAUCAAAACAUCAUUGUGAUAACUGCAUUCAUCAGUUCAAAACAUUUAAGUUCUACCUUUUUAAGACAGUUGGCACCGCUGUGGCACAUGAACACUAUUAAAGGACCAAAGAGAGUGCACUUCUAGUAAAAUAUCAUUGAGGGAUUGGAAGUUCUUUCAUUACUUGCAUUAUAAACUGAGUCAUACUUGAGCCCGAAACGUCAGCUUUCCUGCUCCUCUGAUGCUGCUUGUCCUGCCGAGUUCAUCCAGCUCUACACCUUGUUAUCUCUAUACUUGAGAUGUUGUGGGUUGUCUGCCAUUUUUCCAACUGCUGGCUAAAUGAAAGUGGUAAAAUGUACACCAUCCACAAUUAGUAGGUGCUUUUUAAACUGGAAACUGUUGUGUGGAAAUUUCAAAAUGUGCUAACAUUUUUGACAACAUUUUGGUUGUCUCAGUGCAAAAAGAUAGCUGGUUUCUGUGACUGAAUCAUGUGAUAUCAAUUAGGGUUACUGAUUCAAUUUCCACUUCAGACUAAAGUAGUACAGCAAUUUCUGUAUGAAUCACAAAAAUAUCCAAAAGCUUUGCAUCAGAAUUCCAUGAAUACAUAGUUUUAAAAAAUUCCAGUAAUAUUUUUUGUAAUUUGAAAUUUUUUUUUUGUAAGGCUAAAUCAGUUAAACAAACUAA